GGCUACUAGCCCGGGGCCAAACCUGUCUUGAAAAUAGGUUUUAAGUGUUCGACUCACUUGGUGGCUU
rnacentral:tRNA from 1 species